rnacentral:rRNA from 1 species
GAUGAACGCUGGCGGCGUGCCUAAUACAUGCAAGUCGAGCGAACAGACGAGGAGCUGUCUCCUCUGACGUUGUCGGCGGACGGGUGAUUAACACGUGGAUAACCUACCUAUAAGACUGGGAUAACUUCGGGAAACCGGGUCUAAUACCGGAUAAUAUAUUGAACCUCAUUGUUCCAUCGUUAAAGACGGUUUUUCUUUCAGUUAUAGCUUACUCCGCGCCGCAUUAGUUAGUUGGUAAGGUAACGGCUUACCAAGGCAACGAUGCGUAGCCGACCUGAGAGCGUGAUCCGCCACACUGGAACUGAGACACGGUCCAGACUCCUACGGGAGGCAGCAGUAGGGAAUCUUCCGCAAUGGGCGAAAGCUUGACGGAGCAACGCCGCGUGAGUGAUGAAGGUCUUCGGAUCGGAAAACUCUGUUAUUAGGGAAGAACAAAUGUGUAAGUAACUAUGCACGUCUUGACGGUACCUAAUCAGAAAGCCACGGCUAACUACGUG